rnacentral:rRNA from 1 species
UACAGAGGUCUCAAGCGUUGUUCGGAUUCAUUGGGCGUAAAGGGUGUGUAGGUGGCGCGCUAAGUCGGGUGUGAAAUUUCGGAGCUUAACUCCGAAACUGCAUUCGAUACUGCGGGUCUCGAGUCCGGGAGAGGUGAGUGGAAUUCCUAGUGUAGAGGUGAAAUUCGUAGAUAUUCGCAAGAACACCAGUGGCGAAGGCGGCUCACUGGCCCGGUACUGACGCUGAGGUGCGAAAGCGUGGGGAGCAAACAGG